CCACCACAGGAAACAAUGGUGAUUGACCAUUUGAAACUUCUUGUUGGCCACAAAAGUUUUGGAUCAAGCUGAUAUUUGUGUGGUCCCUUCAUCCAGGUCUUUGCUACCUUAUCAACAUGUUGGAUGGCAAAUAAACAUUCUGGUGGCCCCCAAGAAAUUUUUAAUGGUGAGUAUUCAAUCACCAUUGUUUCCUAUGAUGUGGUCCACCUAAGAUUUGGAUCUGCUUCAUUUUUGGGAUCACGCCAUAAAAUGAGCUUUCAAAAUGGAUGGUCGGCAUGGAUGUAAGGAAAAUACAUCAUGGCGGGCCCACCAAAACCAGGCCUGUUCCUCUCCAUGCUGUUAGGAUGGAAUCUCUGCUGCUGGUAUUGCUGUAUUGCUUUAUGGUCCAAGUGCUUGUCUCAGGUAACUGGAGGGGCUGGAGUUGGUUUCAUCAACUGAUAUUUCUACUGUGCCUUCUUCCCUGCCGGCCCAAGCCAUUGUACAGGUGCCAACCUAGCAAGCGUAUCGAACUUUUGACUGGUGUAUAAAGUAAACUCCCUUGUGAAGAGAUCAUAUGCAAAAAUCAGGCAAGUCAACUAACAAACGCAGGCCACUCGUGUAUCUUCAAUUGGCACAACUAACAAAUGGUAGUCAUUUCUUUUAGUUCCUCUAUGAUUGUUUGAUCCCUUCUAUAUGGUUUCUGGUGGAACCCUGUCCAAGUGGAAUUUCCUUCCCUUUGGCUUUUUCGAGGCCAUUGCUGUAUUUCUUAAACUGUUUAUUUGUAGGCCAUGAAUCGAAGGAUUAGGACCUUCCAAUCUGGGGCCAUUUUCCUUCCACACUGAAACCCAUCAGAUAUAUAGUCUGGAUGUACAAACCACUGGCCUCACUUGUAUGGAAUGGAUGCAUCAAGGCACUAUUCGUAUCAGUGUAUCGUACUUCUACUUUGCUAAUAGGUUUUAACUAACAGUUGUGAUUUAUGAAUUUUUACUUUUAAUAGGUGGAGCUAAUUGGCAUGUGUGAAGUGACUGGUCAGGACAGAGAGAAUGGUUGUGCAUGUGGGUUCCUUUCCAUUUUAUGGUUUCUUUGUUCA